rnacentral:rRNA from 1 species
GAGUAGUACUAGGAUGGGUGACCUCCUGGGAUGUCCUCGUGUUGCACCCCU